GUAUAUAAAGACAACAAAUGUUCGCUGCGACAAAUAUUAAUGUGAUU
rnacentral:guide_RNA from 1 species